UAUAAAAAUGCUUUAAAAAACAAUACAUAUUUUUAGCCAUUUUAUUUUAGCAAAACAAUCUAUUGGGAGCUGUGAAAUCCAAUUUUCUCUUCAGACAAAGAUCCAAUUCUAAACCAUAUUUCACGUUUUCUUUUGUUCUUCUAUGGGAUUGAAAUUGAAACCAGGGGUCGAUUCCCUACUGGUGGACUCAGUGAGAAAAGAAGAGGAGGAGAGAGAGAAAAACUAAAAGGAAAGUCACAUGGAGCUUUCAAAAUUGAAAACAACUGGUGGCUUUGAAAGGUAGGCCGAAGAAAGGCAGCUGCCCCCUCCAGUCAUCCUUAUCCCAACCAACUGUUUCUCCACCUUUACUUACCGGUCAAAUACUGGCCUAGAAAGAUCAAGAUUCAAGAAUACUCCAUCGUUAAGUUUUCUUCUCUUUAGUCAUCGCUCCAAAAGUCUAUAUAUAUAUAUAUAGAAUACCUUUAGUGUUGUUCUACCACGCUAAGUUCAUCUCCCUGCGUUGCAUUUUCUCGAGAAAGUGAGAGAAAAAGAUGCCUCCUCCAGGUUGGGGACCCCCGGGACCAGGAGGGCCUGGAGGCCCUUGUGGCUGCUUUGCUUUUCUUUGCGGUGGUAUUUGCAGGGCCGUGUCUACAUGUUUCUAUUUUCUGUGCUGUUGCUGCAUCCUAGAGAGCUGCUGUGGGCCUAUCUUUGGUGGGCCUCCUGGUGGGCCACAUGGUGGGCCUCCUCCAUUUUAAUGAGCCCAUUUGGAAGGGGAUGUUUGUGUACAUGAUGCUUUGAAUGGAAUAAAUGAGAACAAUACACUUGGUUUGUGGUUGUCAUGUUGCAAGUUCAUUUCUUCUAUCUUUCUUGGUUGGUUUGUGUUGGUAAAGUGAAUGUAACUUUUGGCCUUUUGUCUAGUGUUUUCCCUUUUGGAGAAUGGAAUUGAAGGCUUUCUUGUUUUCCCCAUAAA